CUUGAAACUAGUGAAGAGCGCAUGCGCCGUGCUGAAGGCUCCACUGGUGACACCUGGUGGCCACUUUAUGACAUAGCAAGGACAAUUUACUUUCAGUACCAGCAAUAAUACGACCAGAUUGGUGCUGAUCCCUGUUUACUCAGGAUCGUCGGGAAAUCUCCUAGCAUAAGAGCAGAUGUGCGGCUGGCUGACCAUCGGUUGGGAUUCCCACGUUCAGAGAUUGUUCCUGUUGGGACCUAAUAAAGCAAUUGAGGAAAUGGCCACAAUGCAAAUUCCAUAAAUGAGCCUAAGCCUAUCUUUGUCUAUUUGCUACAUUUACAAAAACGGAACUUGGAUCCUGACAGCACUUUGGCAAUAUGCCUGGAUCUGCCGGUCUAGUAGUGGCAAAGCAAAAAAGCAAGUAUCUGGAGACUGGGAAACAGACUGCAUCUGCUUAAACAGAGGAUAACAGUAAACUGAGCAACAGCGCCACCUGUAUUCUCACUGUCAAAA